GUGGUUCGUUACGUCGGAUGUGAAAAUCUGGGGCUCAACCCCAGACCUGCAUCCGAUACGGGCGAGCUAGAGUUUGGUAGGGGAGACUGGAAUUCCUGGUGUAGCGGUGGAAUGCGCAGAUAUCAGGAGGAACACCAAUGGCGAAGGCAGGUCUCUGGGCCAAUACUGACACUGAGGAGCGAAAGCGUGGGGAGCGAACAGGAUUAGAUACCCUGGUAGUCCACGCCGUAAACGGUGGGCGCUAGUUGUGGGAACCUUCCACGGUUUCUGCGACGCAGCUAACGCAUUAAGCGCCCCGCCUGGGGAGUACGAUCCCAAGAUUAAAACUCAAAGGAAUUGACGGGGCCCCGCACAAGCAGCGGAGCAUGCGGCUUAAUUCGACGCAACGCGAAGAACCUUACCAAGGCUUGACAUAUACAGGAAUACGGCAGAGAUGUCGUAGCGGUAAAACGUCUGUAUACAGGUGGUGCAUGGUUGUCGUCAGCUCGUGUCGUGAGAUGUUGGGUUAAGUCCCGCAACGAGCGCAACCCUCGUUCUGUGUUGCCAGCAUUUAGUUGGGGACUCACAGGAGACUGCCGGGGUUAACUCGGAGGAAGGUGGGGAUGACGUCAAAUCAUCAUGCCCCUUAUGUCUUGGGCUGCACGCAUGCUACAAUGGCUGGUACAAAGGGCUGCAAUACUGCAAAGUGGAGCGAAUCCCAAAAAGCCAGUCUCAGUUCGGAUUGGGGUCUGCAACUCGACCCCAUGAAGUCGGAGUUGCUAGUAAUCGUAGAUCAGCAACGCUACGGUGAAUACGUUCCCGGGGCUUGUACACACCGCCCGUCACAUCACGAAAGUCGGUAACACCCAAAGUCAGUGGCCCAACCGCAAGGAGGGAGCUGCCAAAGGUGGGAUCGGUGAUUGGGAUGAAGUCGUAACAAGGUA
rnacentral:rRNA from 1 species